rnacentral:rRNA from 1 species
UACAGAGGUCCCAAGCGUUGUUCGGAUUCAUUGGGCGUAAAGGGUGCGUAGGCGGCGCGGUAAGUCGGGUGUGAAAUCUCGGGGCUUAACUCCGAAACUGCAUUCGAUACUGCCGUGCUUGAGGACUGGAGAGGAGACUGGAAUUUACGGUGUAGCGGUGAAAUGCGUAGAUAUUGGGAGGAACACCAGUGGCGAAGGCGGCUCACUGGACCGGAACUGACGCUGAGGCGCGAAAGCGUGGGGAGCAAACGGG